ACUAAAAUAAAAUCAGUUAUGUUAAAUGAUAGUUCUUGUUUUAGCUUCUUUGAGACCAUAGUGACAUUUUGUAUUUUCCAACUCACAUCAAUAUUAUUUUUGUAAAUUAUUUUCUUAUAGCAUAGCCGAAUUUGUUUGUUUAUGUCUUUAUCUGGUUGCUUUUGCAAUAGAAUAGAAGUUGAAUAGUUGUGGCAGAGACCCUAUGGCUCAAAAAGUCUU